rnacentral:lncRNA from 1 species
CUGUUUUUGUUUUCCUCAAAUUGAAAAUCUAAUGGUUCAGAAGAAGUAGGGAGCUAGCUUCUUAAUUUAGCAUUGUAUUACUCAGCAGUUUUUAGAAGCUCUAAAUUCAUCUGCUUGUUAUCUCAUUGUGCUCAUUAUUGCUUCUGCUGAGUCCAGACUAAAUAAACUCUUAUGUCAUGGCCACAGCUGCGCAGUUAUGCCUCUCUCAUGAGGAAAAAUCCUAGAUGACUGAGAGCUUGUUUUCUGUCUGUCGUGUGCAGCCAUGUAUAGGUUACCUCUGAUUGCUGCAAACAAAAUGAAUCAUGCCCUCUUUAGGAAAAUAUUUAUUAUAAAGGUAGUCAUGUAA